ACUCUCCACCAGGGUCAGCUUCAAAUUCCAAUCAUCAGAUCUCAGCCUCCUAAGAAAGUGGGAUUACAGCUGUAAACCACCAGUGCCCAGCUCAAAGUACUUUUUUUUUUUUUAAAGUACUUUCUGAAACCUUUCAAACUUUAGAGUAGUUUCAGGUAUGCAGGACUGCUUUAAACUAAUCUGAAUUAAAAAUAAAUCAUUAUUGUAGAUCCUAGUAGUGUGGUGGAAAUA